AGAGUUUGAUCCUGGCUCAGAUUGAACGCUGGCGGCAGGCUUAACACAUGCAAGUCGAACGGUUGUAGCAAUACAGCAGUGGCAGACGGGUGAGUAACACGUGGGAACCUUCCUAGGGGUACGGAACAACUCAGGGAAACUUGAGCUAAUACCGUAUACGUCCGUGAGGAGAAAGAUUUAUCGCCCUUAGACGGGCCCGCGUAGGAUUAGGUAGUUGGUGGGGUAAUGGCCUACCAAGCCUACGAUCCUUAGCUGAUCUGAGAGGAUGAUCAGCCACACUGGGACUGAGACACGGCCCAGACUCCUACGGGAGGCAGCAGUGGGGAAUCUUGGACAAUGGGCGCAAGCCUGAUCCAGCCAUGCCGCGUGAGUGAAGAAGGCCUUCGGGUUGUAAAGCUCUUUUACCAGGGACGAUAAUGACGGUACCUGGAGAAUAAGCCCCGGCAAACUUCGUGCCAGCAGCCGCGGUAAUACGAAGGGGGCUAGCGUUGUUCGGAAUUACUGGGCGUAAAGCGCACGUAGGCGGGUCGUUAAGUCAGGGGUGAAAUCCCAGAGCUCAACUCUGGAACUGCCUUUGAUACUGGCGACCUAGAGUUCGGAAGAGGUUAGUGGAAUUCCCAGUGUAGAGGUGAAACUCGUAGAUAUUGGGAAGAACACCAGUGGCGAAGGCGGCUAACUGGUCCGAUACUGACGCUGAGGUGCGAAAGCGUGGGGGAGCAAACAGGAUUAGAUACCCUGGUAGUC
rnacentral:rRNA from 1 species